rnacentral:rRNA from 1 species
UACGUAGGGGGCAAGCGUUGUCCGGAAUCAUUGGGCGUAAAGAGCGUGUAGGCGGCCCGGUAAGUCUGUUGUGAAAGUCCAGGGCUCAACCCUGGAAUGCCGAUGGAUACUGCCGGGCUAGAGUUCGGAAGAGGCGAGUGGAAUUCCUGGUGUAGCGGUGGAUUGCGCAGAUAUCAGGAGGAACACCAAUAGCGAAGGCAGCUCGCUGGGACGUUACUGACACUAAGGCGCGAAAGCGUGGGGAGCGAACAGG